UGUAGACAUUUUCAUGGAUAUGAAACUGGACACCGAGUUGACACAGAAGUUCAGCUGCUGGGUUUGGCGGCAGUGAGGGUGGGCAGCAGCUCAGCCAUGAGGAAGCCAGAAGUGGAUGUCUGCCUCCCCUCCUCCAUCCCAGAGGAAAAGGAUGUGAAACUAACCCAGAGUGGACGCUGAAGCUCAUCUUCCAAGCAGUCUUCAAUUUCCAGAGACUGCACGGCUUCCUGCCCAACCCCAGCUGGGCCUUCUUCCGGAGAGGAGCAACUGGUGACAGCACUGUCCAUCGUGCCCUCACAGCUAUAUUGCCAAGCAGCCAUUUGGAAGCAAGUCUUCCCACUACACCAGCCUGGCACAUUGUGUGUCCUCCAGAGGUACCAUAGACUGGAAGUGUAUCAAAUGGAGCCUGGCUAGCUGGACAGCAGUGACCAGUGAGACAUGACGAGACCUCAGAAGGAGAGUAUAUGUGUGGACUUAACCUCAGGCUCCUCUGCACCCUAGAUUUACUGCAAACACACAGGGACUGACCUGUAGGAAGAGAGUCUUGCUGAAAUCCUGAACCUGCACUUGCAACUAUAGAGCAUCUAUAGCAGCUUUCAGCCUGGAUGCCUGUCACCAAGUCUUGGGCAAUGAGUGGAGCCACCUGGCCGUGGAGCUCAGAGUUGUGGACAGCUGGAGCAGAGUAUUUAGGUGAACAAUUGUGACUGCAGUUCUGGAGCUCCAGUCGAAUGGUGGUACUGGGAAAGUCAGCCUCAGCCCUUCCUCCAUUAACCAGAGCUUCCCCACUAGCCCUGGAAAGAAGCAGCUGCUCUUGACAGGAAAUGAAGACUUAAUGUGUAGUGUGGAUGGUCCCUGAUGUUCUCUGCUGUAUUUGUUAUGAUUUCUUGGAAAGACUUGAG